AGAACGAACGCUGGCGGCAGGCUUAACACAUGCAAGUCGAACGCGUGUAGCAAUACACGAGUGGCGCACGGGUGAGUAACGCGUGGAUAUCUGCCUUUUGGUUCGGAAUAACCCCGGGAAACUGGGGCUAAUACCGGAUGGUUCCUACGGGAUAAAGAUUUAUCGCCAAAAGAUGAGUCCGCGUCCGAUUAGCUAGUUGGUGGGGUAAUGGCCUACCAAGGCGACGAUCGGUAGCUGGUCUGAGAGGACGAUCAGCCACACUGGGACUGAGACACGGCCCAGACUCCCACGGGAGGCAGCAGUGGGGGAAUAUUGGACAAUGGGGGCAACCCUGAUCCAGCCAUGCCGCGUGAGUGAUGAAGGCCUUCGGGUUGUAAAGCUCUUUUGGCGGGGACGAUGAUGACGGUACCCGCAGAAUAAGCCCCGGCUAACUUCGUGCCAGCAGCCGC
rnacentral:rRNA from 1 species